CGAAGGGGCUAGCGUUGCUCGGAAUUACUGGGCGUAAAGCGCACGUAGGCGGAUAUUUAAGUCAGGGGUGAAAUCCCAGAGCUCAACUCUGGAACUGCCUUUGAUACUGGGUAUCUUGAGUAUGGAAGAGGUGAGUGGAAUUCCGAGUGUAGAGGUGAAAUUCGUAGAUAUUCGGAGGAACACCAGUGGCGAAGGCGGCUCACUGGUCCAUUACUGACGCUGAGGUGCGAAAGCGUGGGGGAGCAAACAGGAUU
rnacentral:rRNA from 1 species